rnacentral:lncRNA from 1 species
UAAAAAAGAAAAAGAAAAAAAAGAUUAAUAACGCGGCUUUAUGGACUUGAAAGAAAGUAUACGGUUCUACUUCUAGAUAGAAACGCAAUGGGACAAACUAGGUUGUGAACAUUAGUGGUGAUAAAUUUGGUAGGCGGAAGGCACAUGUCCCCAGCUCCAAUUAAUGCAACUGGAAUUGAGGGAUAAGGUUUAAUGUUAUCCAUAUGUUUUUCAUAUAAUUUUGCUAGCUCUUUCUAUUUCAUUUGUUGAUAGGCAUUGGUGCUGGCUGGAGAAAUUGUC